UACGGAGGAUGCGAACGUUAAUCGGAAUCACUGGGCGUAAAGCGCGCGUAGGCGGUCUGUUAAGUGGGAUGUGAAAUCCCCGGGCUUAACCUGGGAAUUGCAUUUCAAACUGGCCGACUAGAGUACGGUAGAGGGAGGUAGAAUUUCCUGUGUAGCGGUGAAAUGCGUAGAUAUAGGAAGGAAUACCAGUGGCGAAGGCGGCCUCCUGGAUCGAUACUGACGCUGAGGCGCGAAAGCGUGGGGAGCAAACAGG
rnacentral:rRNA from 1 species